AUGACCCCUCUCCAGAAAACGGGCACUUCAUCGCAGGCCGAACGAUCCACUCCCUGUCGAGUGUCCCGGGAAAAUCCCCAGCACCCUCCUCCUCACCGCCUCCGAAGAGCAGAAACACAGAUGAAGGAAUUAGAUGCCUGUCGAGGAGAUUCGAAAGAAAGUACCUCAUUACUCCAUUAGACUUGAACUUUGCUUGCUCCAGCACUUAAGAAAAUCUCAUUGAAGAAAGACCUCAUUGGAUUUUCCCAGAGCAAUGCUUUCCAAACUUCAGGUUAUUUUGAGAAAUCAGGGCUUGUCUUCAAAAUUCCCAAUCAGAUCAGUAUUUGCUCCAUGGCAAUCCAAGGGAUUUCCACAGACCCCCUCAGCCACUGAAGGGGGAUGGAGCAUUAGCACCUCCAGGAGAAUCUCUCAGAUCACCAGGGCCAUUUGGGAUGUGGCCACUUGGUCACGCUGAAAUGACUCCAAGCAGAAGAGGAGGACAAAGAGCCUGGAAAGGCAAAAAGAGCUAGAAGGUCAAGGAGCCCCCACCAGAAACCUCUGAUGGAUUGCUGAGUAUCCCACCCCCUGGGCCAUGGGGUGGAGAAAACUGCACUGGACUAAGUCCUUACCUUUGAGAAGUCCCGCUUCAACCGAACCCAAGCAGGA